UACACUCCUACGGGAGGCAGCAGUGGGGAAUAUUGGACAAUGGGCGCAAGCCUGAUCCAGCCAUGCCGCGUGAGUGAUGAAGGCCCUAGGGUUGUAAAGCUCUUUCACCGGUGAAGAUAAUGACGGUAACCGGAGAAGAAGCCCCGGCUAACUUCGUGCCAGCAGCCGCGGUAAUACGAAGGGGGCUAGCGUUGUUCGGAUUUACUGGGCGUAAAGCGCACGUAGGCGGACUAUUAAGUCAGGGGUGAAAUCCCGGGGCUCAACCCCGGAACUGCCUUUGAUACUGGUAGUCUUGAGUUCGGGAGAGGUGAGUGGAAUUCCGGGUGUAGAGGUGAAAUUCGUAGAUAUUCGGAGGAACACCAGUGGCGAAGGCGGCUCACUGGCUCGAUACUGACGCUGAGGUGCGAAAGCGUGGGGAGCAAACAGGAUUAGAAACCCCUGUAGUCCCAUG
rnacentral:rRNA from 1 species